rnacentral:rRNA from 1 species
AUUGAACGCUGGCGGAAUGCUUUACACAUGCAAGUCGAACGGCAGCACGGGGCAACCUGGUGGCGAGUGGCGAACGGGUGAGUAAUACAUCGGAACGUGCCCAAUCGUGGGGGAUAACGUAGCGAAAGUUACGCUAAUACCGCAUACGAUCUACGGAUGAAAGCGGGGGAUCGCAAGACCUCGCGCGAAUGGAGCGGCCGAUGUCAGAUUAGGUAGUUGGUGGGGUAAAGGCUCACCAAGCCAAAGAUCUGUAGCUGGUCUGAGAGGACGACCAGCCACACUGGAACUGAGACACGGUCCAGACUCCUACGGGAGGCAGCAGUGGGGAAUUUUGGACAAUGGGCGCAAGCCUGAUCCAGCCAUUCCGCGUGCAGGAUGAAGG